rnacentral:ncRNA from 1 species
AUCGGAUCCCGUCGACUGCGAUGGGAUGGCUUCUCCGGGCGCCUAUCCCCCGGCAACCU